rnacentral:lncRNA from 1 species
AUUUGGGCUGCUGUUCUGCCUCUGGGCUCUAGUGUUCUAGCUCUGGCUGUUUGUGUAGCUGGGGCCGCAGGAAACAUCGGCUCAGUGUGGAUGCUUCAUGUGGAUUCAUUUAUGGAAGCCUCGAUUUAUGUGUGUUCUGAGUAUUUAGAUGAGAAUGUUCCUAGGAGGUAGUAUCUAUAAUGCAUAAUCAUUUCCUUGUAGUGAAUUGUUUCAAGUUAACACUUGUUUAAAUUUUUUUUACACUACAGCAUUUAUGCAAUGGUUUACAGAAUUCAUGGAAUUAUUUUUAUCAGUACAGGAAUUAAUUAAAACUUUGAAUCUUCAAAAAAAAUGGCUAAGGAGAAAACACAAUGAGAUUCUGGGGUACUGGCUUGCAGAGGAUUUCUUCCUGUGAGUAUAUACAUAUAUAUUCUAUAUAGAACUAUAUAUAUAGUUUAUUUAAAAAGAAUACUAAGGGGCUACUAGGUAGUAGGCACCCUUUAAGACCUCGGAGACAGAACAAAACACUGACCCACCCAAAGAGAGGAAACCUCCUGACCGAGGUCACCAGCUAUUCAGCACUUUCUAGAAGCUCAUUGAAAUGUAAAUUAAGACUCCACCCAGAUCUAUCAAAUCAGACUGCAGGUGGAGCUCAGAAGUCUGAUUCCACAACUCCAAUGACGCUGAUCCUUGCUGAAUGUGAUAACCACUCUCCUCAAUUCACUCUAUGGAUGGAAUUUGAGACCCCACAGGUUUUCUACCUGACGAUGGGAGUGGAGGACUCGAGAGCCACUGAACAGACAAAAGGCCCUUCAGUCACCACUGUUCUGUCUUUUUCCCUGAAGGGAAAUACUGAGGAUUACAAAGAAAGCUUUCAGAUGGCACGUGCGUUGGACCUUGCACACAAAACUUGACGCGCCUCACUGUCAGGCGCAUGCGGACUUAGGAGAGCCUGAAGAUGGGUGCGUCCUGAAGCUGGCACCCACGUGCUGCUACCCUUUAAGGAGGCACUGGAAGCGGCCGGCACGGUACGGUUCUUGCCGUUCCUGGGAGAGGGAGUGCUUCCUUAAAUGCCGGGAGCCAGCCUUUGCCUUGCUCAAGUCCCGGAUGUUCCUCCCCUGCUUCUGAAUGCGCCAUGCUGGUCAGUAAGUAGCUUUUCUGCUUGCUUACUUGCUUGCUUGCUUGCUUGCUUGCUUUCCUUCCUCUUCUGCUGCCUUUUUUAAUUUUUUAAUACCUUCCAGGAGAACGGUGCGCCGUGUUCCUGCGUAGGAGUCAUUCUCAGCCCGGUGCUCUAACUUCCCGGUGAACGUGAGCGCCCCUGCCGCCUGAGGGCCUCGGCGUGACUCCCGGUGUCUCCCCGCAGCGCGUGGCCGCGGAGCUCGCGG